AUACAUUCAUCUUUGCCUCGUGGUACCCUGAGUAGAGGACCCAGUCACACCAUGCCAGGUGUCAGAACUACAGAACUGUGAGUUGGAUAAUGCAGCCAAACUAGAGAAGGGGAGCCAAAAGAUGGAGAGAAAGAAAUCAGUUUGGGGUAACAUUAUUUAAACCCCUGCAUCAAAAAUCACUUGAAGACCACAUCAACCCCUUUAAUGACUCCAGAACGUCCUGACUCAGGAACAAAGAGACACUUUGGACCAUUGGACCAUCGAGCAAUUCUAUUGCAGAGAAUAUUCUGCAAUUUUUUUUUUUUUUUUUUUUUGCCAUGCUGUGUGGCAUGUGGGAUCUUAGUUCCCUGACCAGAGAUUGAACCUGUGCCCCCUACAGUGGAAGCAGGGAGCCUUAACCACUGGACC